CACGUAGGGCGCAAGCGUUGUCCGGAAUUAUUGGGCGUAAAGAGCUCGUAGGCGGUCUGUUGCGUCCGCUGUGAAAACUCGGGGCUUAACCCCGAGCCUGCAGUGGAUACGGGCAGACUAGAGGUAGGUAGGGGAGAAUGGAAUUCCCGGUGUAGCGGUGAAAUGCGCAGAUAUCGGGAGGAACACCGGUGGCGAAGGCGGGACUCUGGGCCGAUACUGACGCUGAGGAGCGAAAGCGUGGGGAGCGAACAGG
rnacentral:rRNA from 1 species